rnacentral:rRNA from 1 species
CCUACGGGAGGCAGCAGUGGGGAAUAUUGCACAAUGGGGGAAACCCUGAUGCAGCGACGCCGCGUGAGUGAAGAAGUAUUUCGGUACGUAAAGCUCUAUCAGCAGGGAAGAAAAUGACGGUACCUGACUAAGAAGCCCCGGCUAACUACGUGCCAGCAGCCGCGGUAAUACGUAGGGGACAAGCGUUAUCCGGAUUUACUGGGUGUAAAGGGAGCGUAGACGGCAGCGCAAGUCUGGAGUGAAAUCCCAUGGCUUAACCAUGGAACUGCUUUGGAAACUGUGCAGCUAGAGUGCAGGAGAGGUAAGCGGAAUUCCUAGUGUAGCGGUGAAAUGCGUAGAUAUUAGGAGGAACACCAGUGGCGAAGGCGGCUUACUGGACUGUAACUGACGUUGAGGCUCGAAAGCGUGGGGAGCAAACAGGAUUAGAUACCCCAGUAGUC